UUGCUUUGGUAGCACAUAUACUAAAACUGGAACAAUAAAGACACGAAUAUGGCCCCUGUGCAAGGAUGACAUGCAAAUUUGUGAAAUGUGUCAUAUUUUU
ensembl:snRNA U6 U6 spliceosomal RNA